rfam:Schistosoma curassoni strain Dakar, Senegal genome assembly, scaffold: SCTD_contig0000475
ACCUAACUGAUGAGUCCCAAAUAGAAGGAAAUGGGCGUCCUGGAU